CUUUCGGGGCGCGUCCGCUCCGUCCCUCUGGCCGCGUUCCGAGAAGAGAGCCCGUCCGGUCUCCCCAUGACCGGGCGGGCUUUUUCGU
rnacentral:sRNA from 1 species